rnacentral:tmRNA from 1 species
GGGGUCGACUGGAUUUGACAGCAAGAAUUAUAAUUUUAUAAGCAAGUCGAGAAUUGAAACAUAGCUCGUUAAUCUUAUGCUUCAAAUUUUAAAUGGCGAAAAUAAAUACGCUCUGGCUGCAUAAUUGACCGAAUAAUAGUAGGUUUUUGCUUUUCUUAGCUAGGCUAAGAAGCUGGAUGUCUCAUAAUAGCCCUUGUUGACGGCGAUUAUUUUAGAGGCACCAUAAAUGUCAACAUAGAAAUACAAUAGUAUCGGUUGUAUUUCUCAAUACAGAUACUAAGGAAGUUAUGGGUAGUUUUCGAUCAGUAACUUCUCUAAAAUUAAACGUAAACUAAACUUGUAGAAAGUAUUUUUAUAACUUGUUUGGACGAGGGUUCGAAUCCCUCCGACUCCACUG